GAACUGGAAUUCCGUCCGACACCUUCGCGGACACUCUUGAACAUUUUUAAAGCACAGUAGGCUUUUAAGCUCAAGCCAGAGUGGGUUGUAAAGGAAAUACCAUCCGUGGGGCGAACCAUCCAAAACGCCCUGCACCGUUUACUAACUCACUGGCUCCGGGAACUCGUCAUUGUCGCUGGAUCUGCCAUUAAUCCAGAAGUUUGUAUUUUGGGAAGAAACUGCAUGUGCAUAAUUGCAAAGCAACUACUAAGCUGGCUAGAAAUGCGUAAGCUGGCUGUGAACUCCACUAACUCACUGCUGCGAUUUCUGAAUGUGGAGUACCCAGGACCGACCCCCAUUAUCACGCCACAGACAGUGACCAUUUCUCGACUCUCGUGCUGGUCUGCAUCCGUGACUCCUGCUACAGAGACUCUUGAACGUGUGGCGAUUUUAAUGAGGCUAAUAGAUUUGAAGACUCCAAAUUAAGCACCCAGAAAGGACCCAAACUGGGUCACCGCUGUAACAAGAUUUCUCUGUGCACUGGCCCAUUCAGCAUCAGGGGCUGAUUAUUUCAAACCAUCUCACUCAUGUCGGAAAAGAAUUGUUAGUGACCUUUCUUUCAACUGAGGAGGAAGACAAAUAUAUAACUAGUAUUUUCCCCCUGUAUUAUUUGCAACGGUGAGUUAUACAUACUUUCUGUGGGUUCGCACAACCUGAAGUCGAGACAGAAGAAGAAGAUGACUUUUCUGAGUAUCCACCCCAUGUGGCAUUUGCACGAAGAUGCUUGCCUACGCCACCAUCUUGAGGGACAAAGAAAUGAUUUCAGUAUUUCCAGUAUUUGCAAACUGGGUUUAUCGACCCAUGGGGAAAUGACAGAGCAGUGCCUAAAGUCGACUCAUCGGUUUCUCGCGUGGCCCGCUCACGAAAGGCCCUUUGUCUCAUAUGCCCUUGUCCGUCCUCAGAGGGCCCAGCACAGAGCCUUGGCCAUAACGACCACGCAAACAAUAUUCGCUGAGGAAGGUAGAUGGAGCAGACACGCUUCCUAAUCUCCAGCGUCUCGCACCCCUUUGUGUGCUCGUGUCCCCAGGUCGAGGCAAAACAUCGUGUCUCGCGAUUAUCCACAACAAUUUUCUCCACAAUGCAAACUGUCAAGGUCAAUUAUGCGUCACUUAGGUGUUUUCAUCUUAGCACAGAAAUGUUCUUUUUCUUGCCCUCCUGGAAGAAUUUCACAAGAAUUGCAGAGGCUGACUAAACGAUUGCAGAAUUUCUGCAUUUCUGCCAAAUUGCGUUGAAGAAUAACAACAAAAAUAAAUGGCAUUCGUCCUAAAGUCAUGUAGGAGCAGGUUCAGGCAGAGAACAAAGCGUGACAUGUGGGAAUUGGCCAACGCACGUGGUUCUCACAACAC